rnacentral:rRNA from 1 species
UACGUAGGGUGCAAGCGUUAAUCGGAAUUACUGGGCGUAAAGCGUGCGCAGGCGGUUGUGCAAGACAGAUGUGAAAUCCCCGGGCUUAGCCUGGGAACUGCAUUUGUGACUGCACAGCUGGAGUGCGGCAGAGGGGGAUGGAAUUCCGCGUGUAGCAGUGAAAUGCGUAGAUAUGCGGAGGAACACCGAUGGCGAAGGCAAUCCCCUGGGCCUGCACUGACGCUCAUGCACGAAAGCGUGGGGAGCAAACAGG